rnacentral:tRNA from 1 species
GCCUGGGUGGCUCAGUCGGUUAAGCGUCUGACUUCAGCUCAGGUCACGAUCUCGCGGUUCGUGGGUUCGAGCCCCGCGUCGGGCU